rnacentral:lncRNA from 1 species
GGGCACGUUCCGCGCUCAGCCAAGCCGGAGAGGCGCUGCAGUUUGCGGCCGCUGGGGGGGCGCCACCACGCGGCUGCACCGUGAGAACCGCUCUAGGAGCAGCAGGCAGUCCUGCAUUGGGACAAGGGCUGAAGCCGGGCCCUGGGAUUGGAUUUCUCCCUGCUUUCUAUCUUCUGCCUGCCCCAUGACUUCCAGUCCCCGGCAGAACCGGUCUCCGUCAUCGCCUAAUUUGGUGAUGAGCCCCGCAGAGCCACUGGGCAGCCGCCCCCUCUAGCCGUGCAUUGUGCAAUGGUCCGGCCACCGCAUGUGGGCAGAGGCAUGGAUGACAGGAAUAGCUUGAGGAAAUGACCCUUGCUGAGAUCUGCAGAACGGGAAAGCGCCUUGUGACUAGAUUAGGAUCAGAUGUGCCUGGCUUAAGCCUAAGCCUCCACCUGGGAGGAGGCGCCCACCAGUCUAUCCUGGCCAUCUGUAUAAACCGCCCCUGAUUCAGCCUCCGGGCAAGGUGGACUUUGGACAAAUGCCCCUGUCCUGUCUCAAUUAGUUGGCAUUUCAAACAAAGUCGUUCUUGUUACUUGACCCCGGUCUUCGCAGUUAAUAGAGAGGCGCCGGGUCAAGGAGCGUUUGCAGGGAGCCUCCAGAUCUGGAGUGACUCAUUUGGAGGCAUGUCACCCUCUCUGGGAACAAAUCACAGAUGUAGCCAGCACCCACCAUUUCCAGGGAGCAGACCUACGAAUAGCUCAUCUCGCCUGAGCACACACACAGCAAACAGCAGGCAGGAUGAAGCAGGUUCCCACAGGGUCAGAGCAGAGCAGGCAGGUUGAAGCUGCAAGUGCCAUCCACACUCUAAAGGCCAUCAACAUGGUGAGCGGCUGACGUCUGUCUCUUAGACAUUGUUCCCCUUGCUUCUGUAGUCAGAUUCAGCUUGUUCUCAAAAGCCAGACCUUCUCACUGGACUGACCUCCUUGCCUCCCUGGAACAGGGACUCAGAAGCACCCAGAAACCUCAGUUCCCCACCCACUGCAGGGCUAAGGUAGGAGGAUGCUGUCAUGAACUUUCUCAGGCUAAUUCAGUCACAUCAGUUUGGCAAAUUUUUGUUUCUUGGCAUAGCCCCGACUCUCUUGGAAUUCGCUCUGUAAACCAGGCUGGCCUUGAAAUUAGAGAUCUGCCUGCCUCGAUCUCCUGAGUUCCAGGAUUAAAGGUGUGUGCCACCGUGCCCAGCUGUGUGCUAAAUAUUUUUUGAGUGAGGUGCUGUGGAAAUACAGAUGUCACACAGGUCUGCAGCAGGCACCCUGUGUCUUUUCAGCCCAUGGUGGGUUAGACAUCCCUCAGAUCCCAGUCCAAACCUUUGCUGCAGCUGAAGACAGAGUUCAGAGUUCUAGCAGGCCUAAGACUCCGGCUCAGCAUGAAAACAAAAGUUAUGGGUCCCAAGCCCACCCUUGCCCUCAGUGUAGUCCUUGACACUCAUCAGGCAGCUCUGACAGACCUGCUGUGAUGGGAGGGGUGGGGGCAGGUGAGGGAGUAAAGGGGGUUCUGGGAAAGUAGCCUAAGAAUACAAGUGCUUGUUUGGAA